AAGACUAUACUUUCAGGGAUCAUUUCUAUAGUUCUUAACUAGGAAAUGUACUAUGAACGUGUUAAGUCUCCCAACCCACGAUGAUGAGUGAUAAUGUACUCCUCUGAGCGUGAAUCGGAUAGUGAUCUGUGAUUUCAUUACGGAAAACUAUCAUUGAUGACCGUUCAUUAGUUCUUUCAGAGCUUAUGAGGAGGAGUGCAUGAUCAGAGUGGU